CACUCGAGGAGCCCAUGUUCUUCUGGGUACUAGGCUCCUGGGUGAACUCUGAAGUACCAACUAAGAGCCCUGAGUGAUGGGAGAUGAUGGAACUGUUGACCACCAUGGAAGAUUCCUCUGGCUGCAGGCUGGCAGAUGUCUAGGUUCCUGAUACUCUGGGAUGCUGUCCUGACUACCAAAGGAUAUGCCCUCUGCAGUUUUCCAUGCAGCUAACUGACUUUGCCCAUGCAGAAUCCUGCCAGGAUCAUCACAAGAAGUUUGAAAAGAGCGUUGCUCCAGUUCUUCAGUGACUUCUGUCUUCAGAUGAGUUGGCCUCACUGUCACCUGCUGAGACGCAUCAGUCUUAGAAUUCUGGCCUUGUGACAACUUGGGUUUGGAAUCUGUGCAGAAGGCCAGCGUGUCUGGAUCCCCUGUGUUAGGUUGUCUUUUUAAAGAACUGCCAUGAGGCGAACGAGAGAACUUUUUGGCAAUAUCUCUGGCCCUAGCUGCCAGCACCCUCUGAUGUUUUUUUGAUGCCUUGCUUGGAGGUGUUGGUUUGGAUUCUGUCUGAAAAGUCGUAAUUACUUUCCCAUGCCCAGCUGCUUGCUCGGCUCCACUGAGGAGAGCGCUCAUUCCUUCUGGGGAAGCAGCAGCUGCACCAAUUCUGCAUGGGGCUGCAAGGAAGACUGCAGGAUGACAGUGUAAUUACCCAAGCUGCCACACAGCCUCAGCCAAAAGGAUGCCUCUGCUAAGCACAUUUUUCAAGUUCCCUGGGUAACUCCAGCAUCCCCUAGAUACUGCCUGGUCACCACCUACUUUGCCAGGACUCUUCUGUACCCUCUGCUCUCCCUGGCAGUUGUCCUCUGCUAUCUCAGGGCCUCACAGUCUGCAGCAGGAUUUAGCAGUGGUUACUAUUACUGUAGCAGCAGUGAGAGCUUCUUCUGGGAUCUAGACAUUUAAAGAUCAGAUGUGAGCUCUCAGCUACUGCCCCAGUGCCAUGCCGAUCUGCCUGCCUGCUGCCUGAGGGUCAUGGACUAACCCUCUGAAAACAUAAGGAAGCCCCCAAUUAAAUGAUUUUUUAAAAUAAGUUGCCUUGGUCAUGGUGUCUCUUCAGAGCAACAGAAUAAUAACUAAGACACACUCUAAAUCUGGGCCACACCUUCUGGUGUCAGCCUGUAUCAAGGGACAUUGAAAGAAGCUCCUUGGCUUUUUGCUUGCUUGUCCUCACUCCUGCUGGCAAGCCCAUCUGCUCUGCUGCUAAGGCAUUCCUUCCCUGGUGUUACAACCUACUUCUUCAGGAUUCCAGUUGAGACUUAAGACUGUGGACUGAACAACUACUGGAUUCUUCUGGGAGGCUGCCACUGUUUGACCAGCUCUAAGCCACUCUAAUAAAUUCCCCCUCCACACUCCCAUUUUAUCAGUUUUAUUUCUCUGAAGAACCCUAACUAAUACAAUAGGUUAAAACUCCAUGUUAAUUUAGGGACUCUUGACAAUAGAGUACAUUUCCCCCAAAAGGACAAGGGCCACAUAAUAUCGUGAAACUACGACAGAAAGGUGAUGAGCUCUCAGAUAACUUCGGUGGCCCUUUGUUUGCUGUUCUUACUUUUGCCUCUUUCCACAGGCAGUUGGUGACCCUUAUCACAAGGUACCAGCCCUCUCUGCUCUAUCCACUCUUCCUGUCCCACCGAGGAGCUUUCCAAUGUGGCCCAAGAGAAAACUGCUGGUAGUGUAUUACCAAGGGACUAGUUUCAGGUCUGUGACCAAGUGAACAACUUAAUAAAAAUGUAAAGACUCUUGGGUCAUUAUUAUUGUAUAGUUAUUUAAGCCACAAUCAAAACAAAUCAUAAAAAUAAUAUGGGGAUGGGGCUGAAGAGAUGGCUCAGUGAUUAAGAGCACUGGCUGCUGUUUUUUUCAGAGGACCUCAGUUCAACUCUCAGCACCCACGUAGCUCACAACUGUGUUUACUCCCAUACCAGGUGAUCCAAUGUCCCCACAUUGCCUCUGUGAGCAUCGGGCACACACAGGCUACACAGGCAUACAUACAAGAAAAACACCCAUAAAAUAAAAAACACAAAACAAGAACAAAAAAGAAUAUGGGUCCAUAAAGUACAGAAAUGCGAGAAUUAGAAAUUAACUAAAAUGUCGCUUCACUGGUCUACCGAUGCACCACGGAGCAGGGAGGCUGUGAACUCACUAAAUGAGAAUUAACAACCCUGCCUCCAGGUCUGAUUCAAACGUAGCCAUGGCUCUUAACCCUCUGCUGCUACCACAAGCUUUCCCACCUCACAUCUCACUUCCUCUCCUCACUCCAGAUUCCAUCAGUGAUUCAGAAAAGUUCCACCCAGAUGGUGACGUUUUAACAGAUCUGGUCUCUCCUGAUCCCUAACCUCUCCCUAUGGUUCUGAAUGAUGGAAAGAUCUAAUUAGUUUCUGGUGUUUAGAUGUGUUAAGGUAAAUUAGGCAAGCACUUCUGCCUGAAGCAUUUCAACAAGACAAUGUAUGUAAAAUGCAAUGCACACCAGAAAGUAAAUUACUUGAGCUUUCCACCUGAGUGCUCAAAGGACUUACUUAUCCGUGCACACCGAGGAGCUUGGCUAACAUCUUUCCAAAUAUCCCAGACAAACAGCCUGAUUCCUCCAGAGAUGGCAGCAAUGCACAUCUUUUAUUUGUUCUUUUAUGAUGUCUUCUGUAGACAUUAAUGAGAACAGAAUUGAAGCUUCUGUAAGUACAGGAAUAUUGGCCAUGUGAAAUGUGUUUUUCCAUCCACAGGACUAAAGAUCAUUUUUGAAGGGGAUAGGCAGGUUGUCAACUCUUGAAAUUAUCCAUUUGGAAAUGAGGGUUGGCCAGGGCUCUUAUUUGGAGAGCCUAGACUUUUACUUUUUCUAGAUGAAUGCUUAUCAUCACCACCGGAGUUCCUUAGACCCUCCCUCAUGCCGUCUGCUUCCUCUGUCUUUCUCCCUCUUCUUCUCUAGGAAGUGCUGUGAUGGGGGUGGGGUGGAGGGCAGGCACUUGUCCUUGUUGACUCCCAGGUUGAAUGAAAGACAGUGUGAGAAGAAAACUCUCUAGUCUCUUGAAUUUGCCCAUGUUUAAGCAGCCUGUAUUUGUAGUUUAGAAGUUCUGACAUUGUCUUCUUCAGAAAUAAACUGGCCUCAGACUCAAAGGAGCUUCCUGGGUCACCUUCCUGAGCAGCUUAUACUAAUUAUAUUUCUGAGGUUAGGAUUGCUCUCCUUAUUGCACUACUGUGCUCCAGGAAGCCAGAAAAGCAAUGUAAGAGGUUCUAUUCUUACCUUAACAUGAAGAAAUUCAGGCACAGAAAUAAACGAGUUACAGGAAAGCAUCGGCAGCAGUGGAAAACAAACAAUCAUUCUGAUCUCUGGCUUCCUCUAGCCAUUUGCACAAACCCAAACAAGUCCCACCUGUGGCUGGAUCAGAUUCCUGAGCACAAGUCCUAAGGCAGCUCUGAGCCCUUGGUCUGGUCCCUAAGAACAUGGCUAUGACGUCAGGUUUCCUCCCUUCACUUUGGGCCAGUGCUCAGGAAGAGGAGCUGCACCAGCC